UGAAAUCAAUUUUUUUUACUUUAUUAUUAAAAUUGACAAUUUUCCAGGAAAGUGAAGUACAUCUCUUACCGUUUCAAAUUUCAAAUUUUCCAUUCUCUCUGGCGCGCAACGACACGACACGAGUACAUAUCGAACGAAAAAUUCGUUCUCAUCUCGACCGUGUAACAUACACGCGUAGGACGUAUAAGAAGCCAUUACUCUGGAGGUUUCUAGUGUGCGUAGGUGGGGAUUUAAUAAUCUAGUAAUUACCCAUCCCUGACCGUCUAAAACCCUAAUCACGACGUCUUACGAUCAAUUCGAUUUUUCAACGAGAGAGCCCAAGUUGAACCGCGGCCAAGGAAGCCGCCAAUAAUCUUAAUAACAGUAAUAACAAUACAUGAAUUAUGCAUCGUCACAUCGAUGUAACACGCAUAAAUGGCGAGAAUGUUUCGCGAUCUCGCCGCCUGGAUCGUUGCUAGCUGUCUCGUUGUUGCAUCAGGUUAGGAGAGUAACGAUUAGUCGCGAUUAACCGACGCUAAAUUAACGGACUUUACCGUGGCGGUUUCACAAUAGGCUUUCUCAGUCCUCUUCGGGAACACGAUCGUGAAAAUAGGUUGUGUUACCAUCACUGUGUUUAACGCCUGCUUUACCAAGGUUUUGUUCAUCGAAUCGUUCGCGUCAAGAUAUAACAAUAAGAUGGAAUGGAUUACGUGUUUGCGUCGUGGAAAAGGGGCCAACAAGGCGAAAAAUGGCCGCCAACAGUCCGGAUACGGUUCGUUCCCCGGAUAAUUUGGCGAAGUGGUGUCCGUGAAAACCGAAAUGGUAAGUAAUGAAUCGGCGCUAAUGCGCCCCGCUCGCAAUAAUUUCUCUAUAUUAACAUCGUCACCAACGCUGGAACUCGUUGCACCUGCAUUAUCAGAUUACACACAGUGCAGCUGCCUCCCCGUCCUGCCUCCGGAGUCGCGCCGCCGAGCACAUUUUACGAGCAGUUUAUGCGCAACGCGCCGUGCCUCCGCCGCUAAAUUAUUGAAUCUAAGACGACGUGAAAGCUUCGAUCCGUAUCGUUACGACAAGGAUGAUUUGCACUCCGUCGAAACUCGCCUAUCUACGAUUCCAUAUCUGUGUAUAAAAUCUAUCUAUAUGUAAAACAUCUCUGUGUUUCGUGGUCAUUUGGUCAUUUGAAUGAAGGGAUAAACGUAGAAAUAAACAUAGAAACAUAGAAAUGAAACAAUAGAAAGAGUCGAAGGGAAUUUUUGAAAAAUGGAAGUAUCGAUAUUUAAUGGGAUUUUAAUGGAGAUUUCGAAGGAUUUGACGAUAUUCAUUAUAAGGAAAAUGUUGAUAAAUAAAAAAAGUGGAUAAAUUUUGAAAAAAAGUCCUUGUGAGAUUGUAAUACGGUAUUCGUAGUAGAUCACGAGAUCCGAUUGUUCAGAGGUUAUCUCUUCUACUUUAUCUUAAGGGAAACGCAAGACGAGAGAAUUUAUCCCCGCGAAAGCACAAUCAACAACGAGGCUUGCACAGAAAAAUGCAACGGCGCGAACCUUUUUGGGUCACGGAGGCUGCAGCGAGAAAUUCACGCUUACAAAGUGCGCCGGCCAACUGAAAAACCCUGGGCGGUUCCAUAAAAUAUCUAACGAAUGGUGUGCAUCGUCCCUCUCUCUCUCUGUCUACCCAUCCAUCCAUCCAUCCAUCUUUUCCUCGCUCUCUCUCUCUCUCUCUUACUCGGUCGAGGACCGCAUUAUGAAAAUGCAUCCGUCAAGCCUGAUAUUUCACGAACGCGAUAUAUCCGUGCGAGUUUCGAGAUACGAUAAACUGAACAUCGGCCGCGAAUCGAUUACCAUUUUUAAAAAAAACCUGGUUGAAAAACAUUGUUCCUCUUGGACGAGAAAGAAAGCGAAUAUAAAAUUUCUCGGUCGAUAAAGAAGAUUUCACGUAAGAAGAUAAAAUUAAAAUUAUCGAUUCAACGUUUACUUUUACUCUUUUAUCCAGAGAACGAUAAUUAUGAAUGUUAUUAUGAAUGUUAAUUAUGAUAAUUAUGAAUGUAUCUCGCGACACAGAUCUCUGUAGAAAAAAAUAUUUGAAAAUAUUAACACA
rnacentral:lncRNA from 1 species